CGACACACCAACCACUCGAGGCCGUACAGGAGCACUACCCUCCCCUCCUCUUGAGCGGUGGCCUUCAAGACGUCCCCUGUCAUCGCACUCACACUUCCAUACACACACGCCUGGUCACGCGCAGGUCCAGAGAUAGAGAUAGACCUUCUCAGCGCACGAGAGCUCUUUUUGACACACCUGCCCAUACACUCAUGCGUUCAUAGACAUCACUCAACCCGAGUACAUCUCUUGUGCUUUUUUCUGUCUUUUUCCAUCUGCACCGUUCGCCUGCUCAAGGCGCGCCUUCACACUGUUGUGGUUUUCUUCUUUUCCGCGUGCCCACAAAAGGAGUUUCAUCGCCGUGCAGCGCUGGCUUGGACGAGCUUCAGACGUUCGCAGCGCCUUUCGUUGAAGUCACAGCUUCAACGAUUCACACACCACACAUAUACUCUCACACGCACUUACGUGCGGCCGCAGCUCACUCGAAAGGUGACUGCCUAUCAUGCUCCACGCAUGGCGCUUCGUUCCUCUUGCACGUAGUACGUCCGCCCUUGGCAGUGGGUUGCUCCGGCCCAGUCGCGUUCUUCGGCAGAAGCGACUCGCCUAUUCCCCUUUCAGGCCACCGCCGACAUGGAACGCGCUGCAGAAGGUGGAGGUGGGGCAUCGCCAGACGGACACGGGCGAGCCUACACUCGAUGGCACGCUGGACCUGGUCGGGUACCAGCUCUAUCGUGACGGUCUGCUGCCUCAGACGAACAUCUUAGGCCGCACGCUGCCGGUUCCCGAUACCAGUGGCAUCUCUGCGGCGACUCGUCGUAAGCUUGAGCGAGAGAGAGAUGUGGCGGUGGCGCACAUGAAGAGGCACGGCGUGCGACUGCGGCGCAGCAUCAAGGAAACAGCCGUGACGAUCGGAUGCGAUGAGGCGGGCAGAGGCCCACUUGCCGGCCCCGUCGUCGGCGCCGCCGUCUCGCGCAUUCCCGUCUCCAGCUUCAACAACGAGUUUGACCAGCUGUACGAGGCACCCGAGCAGUUUCAGAUCUUCGACAGCAAGUCCGUGUCGGAGCGGCAGCGCGACCUAGUGUUUGCCAUGAUCACCGGACACGUUGACUUCUUCGACAUUGCCAGUUGCAAGAAGUUUGUCGUGCACCACUGCGCCGGUGAUGAGGCGACAUCGUUAGCGCUUAGCAGUAAGAAGUUCGACUCCCACGUGAAGCUAUCGAAACUGCCCUUCAAGAAGCUGAUCUCCAUGCAAACGCCGUAUCUGAUCACUUAUCACGGGUACAACAGCGCAGGCAACUAUGUGUACUUCUGGUCCAUCGGCAUCGCCAACCACACCUACAUUGAUGAGUACAACAUCUACAACGCCUCCAUGAACACGAUGCACCGCUCCGCUCAGUCUAUUUGGCACAUGCUGAGCGACGCGCGCUUCUCGCACGAGGCGGCGCCGCGGCCGCGCUCAUCCAGCAUUGCGCAGUACCUGUUCAGCCGCUUCUGCACCGCCGCCAACCACGACAACGAGAAACGCUAUCAGGUGCCGCAUCACCUGGAGCUCCUGAAAGGGGCCACCGAGUACUUCGACUUCGAACCAAUACAGCCUCCGCUAGUUCUCAUCGACGGCCAUGCCGUACCGGGCCCGAGCUACGACUACUUCACCAGCGUUCGCAUUGGUGGCGACGUGCAGCCCAUCAUCGAGGGCGAUAAGCGCAGCCUCUCCAUCGCCGCCGCGUCGUGUCUCGCCAAGGUCACCCGUGACGAGCUCAUGAACUACAUCGACGCCCUCUACCCCGGCUACGGCUUUCGGGAAAACAAAGGAUACCCGGUCGAGCAGCACAUGAAGUACGUGGCCAAGAACGGACUGUGCCCGAUACACCGCAAGACCUAUCGCCCAUGCCGCACGGUGCUGGAGAAGGGGCUGCAGAGGAAGUGAGGCGCGGGGUGGAAAUCGAGUGGGCAGAGCGUUGUUGAGGGCGACCCAGGACACAGGCUGUCUCUCGGCAUCUCGGCUUACCUCACUGCUAGCGCGGGUGCUGGCAGGUUAGUGGGGGGAGAAAAGGGCAGGUGCGAUGCUCCGUGGAGGCACGGCAUCGACGCCAAUACGGCCUGCGGUUCCUCACCGGUGUCGCUCUCUCUUUCUCUCCUUCUCUUCCCUUGCCGCUGUGUGUUUUGCGGUGAGCCGCCUCUUGCAAAGGAGGUGUCCGAGAGAAAAAUCAAGUCGAGUCGCUCCUUGCCUUUUUGUUUGCCGGUAUCCACUGCAUAGGCUGGAUGUAUGCGUGCUUGUGCGGAUGGCCGCUAUGCUGAGCUGAGUGCGUGUGCAUGGACCGCCAUCACGCCCGCCCGCCAGCAUACACAUGCAUACCCCCCCCCCCCCCCACACACACACACGGAAUACAUGAAGCAUAUGAAUAAAGAGGGCCGGCUUACAGAGUUCACAGAAGGCAUGUCUGAGCUUGUGCCGAUCGCUUGAUGUCGGCAUAAAAAUAAAAACAUCUUUUACACGUAGGCGGCGAAGGGCCGGAUGAAGUCGUUCGCGCAAUCCGUUCUCCUCCUGUGCUGGUGGACAACUGUCGCCUACGCUGCCUAACCUUCACAGGUGUAGGCCGGCCAUCGUUAUUCAUGUGUAUGCGUAUUUGCGCGCAUGCACUUGCGCCCCCCCCCCGCUCUUACCCCUUACUCAAAUAAUGCUGCUGCCGGUUCGUACACGGUGUCUUACGCGAUGGCUACACGCCGACUUGGUCUUGGUGGUACGGCUGCUGCGAAUCAAAACUUUCUUUCUACUCCAACAACUCAUACCUCUGUCUCCGCGUAG
rnacentral:misc_RNA from 1 species